rnacentral:snoRNA from 1 species
CUGCAUUUCUGACAGCCUUCAAGCAGUUCGUGUCUGCUGGUACAGUUCCCACUACAGAUGUAAGAUAAAGAAGGUACUUGCGCUUCCUGUCUGUCUGGUUUGUGGCAGCUGUGAUUGAAUGAAGGAAUACAGGA